rnacentral:lncRNA from 13 species
UCUAAAAAUCAAUAAAUUUUUUCAAAUUUCCUUAAAUUAAUUUUAUUGUUAUUUUCAAAUUUACCUGAGUUAAUAACUUGAAUAGAAGAUGAAAAGUUGCCACAUCACAGUAUUUGAGGUAUCUGAAAGUCUUCUGUUUUGAAUAAAAAAAUAAGCAAAGACAAUUUGCCCUACCACCAAACACCAAACAGCUGUCCACUGUUUUCCUGCUCUUUGGCUUCUCCUCUGUAUUUUGUCAACUGUCAUGUCACCAGUUAUAACUGCCUGCGUCUGCUGUGCGCUAGUUGGUUUCUAGUCGUGGCAGUGAGACUCCACAUUCUGACGUAGGACCCAACUGCCCAGAUGGAUGGUUCAGUUCCUGUAUUGUCCCUUUGCCCACCUUACACCGGGAACAUGUCGUAAUGAAAAAGUCAUUCUUCCCUUCAUCCUCCACCUUCUAAUUGCUUGGAAUAUGGGGCUAAUCAAAAAUGGUCAUGAUGUGCACCUUGUCAAACCUAUUGCAAUCUCCCCUUAGGUAAGUUUACUAAGUCUCAUUUUUUAAUAUAUUUUUGUUUGGUGACUC